CUACAUAGGGACCCUAGGAAGAGUACACACAUGAUGAAACCACCCUACAUAGGGACCCUAGGAAGAGUACACACAUGAUGAAACCACCCUACAUAGGGACCCUAGGAAGGGUACACACAUGAUGAAACCACCCUACAUAGGGACCCUAGUUAGGAUAACAGACAUGACGAACCACCCUACAUAGGGACCCUAGUUAGGAUAACAGACAUGACGAACCACCCUACAUAGGGACCCUAGUUAGGAUAACAGACAUGACGAACCUCCCUACAUAGGGACCCUAGUUAGGAUAA